GCAUGGCAGAAUUCUGUGUUACUCCUGAAAUAGUAAAUACAGUCAGACACCAUGCUAAAUUAUUUUCACACACUGACUCAACAACAGGAUAAGAGGCCUUAUUCUUAUGUCAGAGUGAAUACAUGU
ensembl:snoRNA